rnacentral:rRNA from 1 species
AAAGGCGCGCGAUACAGGGUGACAGCCCCGUACACAAAAGCGCAUGUGCUGUGAGCUCGAUGAGUAGGGCGGGACACGUGGUAUCCUGUCUGAAUAUGGGGGGACCAUCCUCCAAGGCUAAAUACUCCUGACUGACCGAUAGUGAACCAGUACCGUGAGGGAAAGGCGAAAAGAACCCCGGCGAGGGGAGUGAAAAAGAACCUGAAACCGUGUACGUACAAGCAGUGGGAGCACCCUUUGGGGUGUGACUGCGUACCUUUUGUAUAAUGGGUCAGCGACUUAUAUUCUGUAGCAAGGUUAACCGAAUAGGGGAGCCGGAGGGAAACCGAGUCUUAAUUGGGCGUUAAGUUGCAGGGUAUAGACCCGAAACCCGGUGAUCUAGCCAUGGGCAGGUUGAAGGUUGGGUAACACUAACUGGAGGACCGAACCGACUAAUGUUGAAAAAUUAGCGGAUGACCUGUGGCUGGGGGUGAAAGGCCAAUCAAACCGGGAGAUAGCUGGUUCUCCCCGAAAGCUAUUUAGGUAGCGCCUCGUGAAUUCAUCUCCGGGGGUAGAGCACUGUUUCGGCUAGGGGGCCAUCCCGGCUUACCAACCCGAUGCAAACUGCGAAUACCGGAGAAUGUUAUCACGGGAGACACACGGCGGGUGCUAACGUCCGUCGUGAAGAGGGAAACAACCCAGACCGCCAGCUAAGGUCCCAAAGUCAUGGUUAAGUGGGAAACGAUGUGGGAAGGCCCAGACAGCCAGGAUGUUGGCUUAGAAGCAGCCAUCAUUUAAAGAAAGCGUAAUAGCUCACUGGUCGAGUCGGCCUGCGCGGAAGAUGUAACGGGGCUAAACCAUGCACCGAAGCUGCGGCAGCGACGCUGAUGCGUUGUUGGGUAGGGGAGCGUUCUGUAAGCCUGCGAAGGUGGCCUGUGAGGGUUGCUGGAGGUAUCAGAAGUG